rnacentral:rRNA from 1 species
UACGUAGGUGGCUAGCGUUACUCGGAAUUACUAGGUGUAAAGCGCAGGUAGGUGGUCUGAUAAGUUGAAAGUGAAAGCCCCGACUAAAUCGGGGAGGUUUUUCAAUACUGUCAGGCUUGAGUGUGGUAGGGGGAACCAGAAUUCCCGGUGUAGCGGUGAAAUGCGUAGAUAUCGGGAGGAAUACCGAUGGCGAAAGCGGGUUCCUAGGCUAUUACUGACACUGAGCUGCGAAAGCGUGGGGAGCA